ACCUCCACAACAUGUUAGUCCUCACAUGCUUAGCGUGCAACUUCUACCAUUUCCUCAUGUGGGCUGAACAAUAAUACGCCAUCACAUGCCAAUGUGUUUUCUGGCUGCCUGGUGUGCCUGCCCAGGACAGGUUCCAGAUGAAGUCCCACAAGGCCUUGCUUACUUGUAAAAAAUUGUGCAAAACGUAAAUAGUAACACUUUCGUUUGUAUUUGACAAAUAUUGUCUAAUCAUAGGCUAACUAGGCUCAAAAGAUUCGUCUCGCAACUUACAUGUAAACUGUGUAAUUAGUUAUCUUUUUUAUCUAUAUUUAAUUCUCCAUGUAUGUACCGCAAGAUUCGAUGUGAUGGAGAAUCUGAAACAUUUUGUAAAAAAUUUGAGGAAGUAAACAAGGCCAGGUCCUCCCUGGUCUGCUUUCGUUCUUGGACAUACUUCGCUUGCUUGGUUUCGAUGCUAUGUAGUCACGAGUGUCUGUGAGCUAGAGAGAUUGGUAUACUGAAAUGUGUUGAAUCGUCGGUUCCAUACAUCUUUGAGUUUUUAUUGCUGCAUUGGACCAUCUGCAUUGCAGUUGAUCUAUUCAAAUUCCAAAAAGCAUUGCACGAAACAACUGAGAUAUAUUUGUACCCAUUUAUACCUUGUUACUUUUGAAAUGUUAACGUAAGUCCUUGGUGAAAGAAAAAUUAAAGCAUGUAAAUGUACAUGGCCUGUACCUAUAGAUGGAGAAAGAGGUUUGUCCUAAAUUGAAUUUGGGCAUGGGCAUGUGGAUGCUUAUUUCUUUCUCAUGAGAGGCACUUAUAGAAUUAUACCUACCGCUGUGUACCUGAGUCGAUAUGGCUCAUGAAGAUCAAUAUAUAUGUGGACCAAAGCAAUACCCACACACAUGCAUAGACACCAUAUAUGUACAUAGACAUUGUGCCUUAG
rnacentral:lncRNA from 1 species